rnacentral:tRNA from 6 species
GGAUGUAUGGCUGAGAGGCCGAAGGCGCCCGCUUGGAAAGCGGGUGAACCGCAAGGUUCCGUAGGUUCGAAUCCUACUGCAUCCGCCA